rnacentral:rRNA from 1 species
UACGGGGGGUGCAAGCGUUGUUCGGAAUUACUGGGCGUAAAGCGUGCGUAGGCGGUUAUUUAAGUCGGGUGUGAAAGCCCCGGGCUCAACCUGGGAACUGCAUUCGAGACUGAAUAGCUAGGGUACGGAAGAGGCGAGUGGAAUUCCUGGUGUAGCGGUGAAAUGCGCAGAUAUCAGGAGGAACAACAAUGGCGAAGGCAGCCCGCUGGGACGUUACUGACGCUGAGACGCGAAAGCGUGGGGAGCAAACAGG